ACUACAUUAGUAAUUUGUAUGAUGUCGCUUGGCUGUCCACUUCAUAUAAAUGAGCGGUCAUCAGUUCGUCACCGGGUUAAUCCUAUUUUAUGUAGCAGUAGUAUCGUACUAUCAGCAGAUUUGGAUACCUACUGCUUGACAUUUUAUCAUAUUGUAUAUACUUCUCUGGAUUCUCUUCUAAAUAUCCAGAAAAUUAUGAAUUAUUGAGAAGUCACUUCUUAAGGGUCGAACGCGAUUAAUAAACAUUAUUUACCUUUACCGACGUUUCGUCUAGGUCGCACUGGCCGUGUCGAAAAGUCGAGGAAAAGGUAAUAUGAUGUGGUUGUUAGUUAAUCGUAAGUGACUUUAAAUCUAAAUGGAGUAAUGUUAUUCUGGUCAAAAUGACCCGAAUAACACUACUCCGACAUAAUUAUUGAACAUAAUUAUUGAAAGUCAUAAUGUAUUGUAGUUCGUCUAUUAACUUUUCAGGGUUGUCGUUAAGGUUGUCUAUAGUUAUAGGUUAUAAGAUAUAUUAGGUUACAUUCGUUUCUUUUAUUCCACCAUGAAAAGUUACGCAUUUCUAAGAACCUAAUUAACAGUAUUACCUUUCCAAAAUGCGGACAUACAUUAGGACUUAAUACUUUUUUGGAAACAAUACAUACACGUGUACCUACUCGUAUACCUAUAAGUUGCAAUAGGUAAUUCCGAAAGUCACAUAAAAAUCACUAUUAUUUCCAUCAUAUCAAGAUUCCCCUUUCGGAAUUACUAGAGCAUUUCCGUCAUUCGGAAUCGUUAGAUUUUAAAUGCGUACCUAUUAGUGUACUUACCUUGUGCAUGUUUUUGAUAGUUUUAAUGAAAAAUAUUUAUGAAUCUCAAUAUAUUGAGAAUUAAAUCUGAAUCUGAACUAUAUUGGCAUAGGCCGAUGAACUGAAACAUGCAUUGGGCUCCUCGCAAAAUGUCUGUAAAGAGAACGCUAAAGCAACACAGGUACAUAAGCGAACAGGGACUCGCAAUAGGACAACUCAGUCGUCCUCUGUCUGCAGAAGCGAACCAAAGUGUGCUCGGAUCUGCUUCACAAUGAUUUGGAUAAUUUCUCUGCUUGUAGCAAUAGCUCCUAUUUUAACUAUUGACGCGUGGGGGUACAAUGCCGUUGACCGGAGGGAGGUAACGGAGUAUGUGACCAAACUGUGUAUGAAAGGUGGCGCAGAAGAUAAAGUUCCUCAAGUUCUGGACGCAAUCGAAAACUUUGAGAAAUGUUCCGUGAGCCUCUUCAAGGACGAAGCGCUGUUGGAGGAGGUUGCUACUUCCAUCCGAAACAAUGACCUCAGAGAAGUCUUCAAGAAGUACUGCGCACGCAAAGACCGCCUGGCCGCCUGCUCAUACACCCUGAUUGAUAACUUGGGCUUGUGCAUAGUCGGCGCGAACUUGCCCAUCGCACACAAGUUCGUCGACCAGGUGCUUGGUUUCGUCUGCGACAACGAAGGAUCGAGGAUCGGAAUGUUCAUCAAGGAAGGCGGUCCGCAAUGCUUCCAGCAGCACUCGAGCUCCCUCAAGGAAUGCGCUGAGAGAGUGCUGGGCGACAUUGAUGGCGUGCAAACGAAUAAACAACGCUGCUCAAAGUUCGACGAGAUAUCCAUAUGCCUGUCGGAGACGAUGACCGGCUGCACGGUGACUACUCCAGGGGACAUGACACGGGCGUUCCUGGCGAACGUGCGCAUGCCCACUCCCUGCCCCCCCACCGACUCGUACAUGAGCUACAUGCGGUGGCUGCAAAACCGCGACCUCCAGCGCAUGCGCAACAGGAACAACACGGAAGAACAGUGAUAAAAAUAGUGAGAUUUUUCCUCCACCAAUUUGCAAGACCGCGAACACCUCAAAGACCCUAAAACCAGUUUUUCAUACAAUAGGACAACCCCGGACCCCCCAACUAUUCGGAUAUGAACCACCCCACCGGCUACAUGAACUACAUGCGGUGGCUGCAAGACCGCGAUCUCCAACUCAUGCGCAACGGUCUUAAAAUAAAAAUAGUGGUAUUUUUUCAGAGAAACUGAGACCUUCCGCAUCUAUACUAUGGUUGCAACACCGCGAACAUGAAGAAUCAAAACCAGUUUUUCAUGCAAUAGGACUACCCUCAAUUGUCUUCUUGGAUAUGAACGUUACUGAAAAUAUUUUGAAGUAAUUUAAGUAAUAUAAAGCUAGAGAGACUACCACCCGAAUCACCCAGAGCUUUACAUACGAACACUUCAUCUUUUGCUCCCCUAACAUUAUUGAUAAUCUUUUUAAACAGUUUCUUGUAAUUUAAUAAAGGUAACAAACAAUUUUGAAAUAAGUAAAUAAAAUUAUUUAACCACAUAUA
rnacentral:misc_RNA from 1 species